AGGUGGCAAUGGCUGACAAUGCGCAUGGGAGGAUCAGGGACCUCAUAGAAUCGGGGAGGCAUUAGAAAGGGGGCUCAAAGUCAAGGUCCAGGAAAAGGAAAUGGGAUUUUAGCCAUGAAGUCAAGCUGAGAGCGCCAGAGAAAUUAAUCCGGGUGGAGAGGGGGUCUACAAGUAUGAGGAAAGCAUCGGUGGUGGGCAACUCGGGAGCACGAGCCUGGAGGGUGGAGGGGGCUGCGCUGCUGCAGUUCAGACAGGCUGGAGCCUAGCUGGGAUUUAUGGACAGUAUCACGCAGGAAGACGUCAGAAAGAAGCUUGGUCUCAACAGAGGAAGGUUUGAGAGAGAGCCUGAUGUGACGACAGGAGGCAAGGGGAUAGGCAACGAGGUUUGGAGAGCAAAGUGGAACUGCUUGGGCCCUAUCAUGAGAUGUAAACUGGAGGAGAUUUGAUGAGAGUUUGUUCUUUAUGGCAGUUCCCUUGCACUCACUUGGGGCCUUUAUAGAAAACUGGGGCAGCAAGAGAACUCGAAGGAGCAUCUGGAUGUGUUGGGACCACAAAUGAGCUAAGCAUGCCGUGAUGUGAAGAGUCGCUGAGUUGGGAAGUCCACGUUCCCUGUUUCCCAGUCCAUGAUGUGCACAGCAGCAGUUGCCAGCUGUCCAGGAUUGGCCUGCGGUCUCCAG